GGAGUAAUGCAUAGGAAUCUGCCCGGUAGUGGGGGAUAACCUGGGGAAACUCAGGCUAAUACCGCAUACGUCCUACGGGGGAAAGCAGGGGAUCUUCGGACCUUGCGCUAUCGGAUGAGCCUAUGUCGGAUUAGCUGGUUGGUGAGGUAACGGCUCACCAAGGCGACGAUCCGUAGCUGGUCUGAGAGGAUGAUCAGCCACAUCGGGACUGAGACACGGCCCGAACUCCUACGGGAGGCAGCAGUGGGGAAUAUUGGACAAUGGGGGCAACCCUGAUCCAGCCAUGCCGCGUGUGUGAAGAAGGCUUUCGGGUUGUAAAGCACUUUCAGUGGGGAAGAAGGCCUGGGGGUUAAUACCCUCGAGGAAGGACAUCACUCACAGCGGG
rnacentral:rRNA from 1 species